GCGCGAUCUGCCGCUGCACCAGCCUCGA
rnacentral:sRNA from 1 species